UACGUAGGUGGCAAGCGUUGUCCGGAAUCACUGGGCGUAAAGCGCGCGGAGGCGGCGAUCUACGUCUGGGGUGAAAGCCCGGAGCUCAACUCCGGGACUGCCUUGGAUACGGGAUCGCUUGAGAAUUGGAGAGGCAAGGGGAAUUCCACGUGUAGCGGUGAAAUGCGUAGAGAUGUGGAGGAACACCGAUGGCGAAGGCAGCCUUCUGGGCCAAUACUGACGCUCAUGCACGAAAGCGUGGGGAGCAAACAGG
rnacentral:rRNA from 1 species